rnacentral:lncRNA from 1 species
CCGGUCCUUGCGGGCUCUAGCAUAAAAGGUUAGACAGCAUAUCACUUAAACUGCCGGAGCCUCAGUUUGUUCGUUUAUAAAAUAGGAAUAUUACUUGCCCUGCCAACUCCACAAGAUGGCUCUGAGGAUCCAGUGAGGAAGUAUAUGAAUCAUCCUACUUGUGGAGCACCUACUCUAGACAAACAGACUGGAUCUGCAGAUGGCAACUUUCCUACUGUCCUCCCAUUCCUGAAACUGCAGCUACUGUGAGAUUUUUGGCUACUGUAGCACUUGGAAAAUCAUAGACACUUCAAUUCCAGGGAUAGUGGUAUUGCCAAAGCAAAACAUCUUCUAUUUACAUAUAAAUAUCCUCAUUCAGCAUGACUGAAUACCUUUCUCAUUUAUAAAGAAGUGGCAACAACCUCAACAAUCAAAUUCUAGGACAUAGAUACUAGAUUAAAGUGACUGAGCAUGUCUCAAGAUCAAAAAACAAUCUUUCAAAAAAUUCAGCCUGGUCUCAAUGUAUAAUCCUUCUUAAAGCUAUUUUGAAUUACUGCCAGAUCCCUGGCUAUGAUUUUACAAUCCCAGCCAAAUAAUUCAUAAGACCUUUGG